AUCUCUUACGUGACUUGUUGUUCUUGCACGUAACUGUGUAACCGUCUGACUGAUAAAGAAGUUGUUAAAUGUCUUUACGUUUAGAAACAUAAUCAAGCAGACUCAUCCAAGCAGAUGCGAAUAGCCUACAAUGUCAGUACUCAAACCACCAGUAGCAGGCUUAGGACUAGAGUUUGCCAGUCAGACCACUACACCUUUGCCAGCACCACCACCCAGCAAGCUUCAUCAACUCCAGCCAUGCCGAGUUUACCAAUCAGACCUACACCUCUGUCAAAUUCGCUCACAACGCUGCCAGUAACACCCCUGCAAGGUAGAACUGCAUUUUCAUUAAUCUGGC